UACGUAGGGUGCGAGCGUUAAUCGGAAUUACUGGGCGUAAAGCGUGCGCAGGCGGUAAUGUAAGACAGUUGUGAAAUCCCCGGGCUUAACCUGGGAAUGGCAUUUGGGACUGCAAGGCUGGAGUUUGGCAGAGGAGACUGGAAUUCCUGGUGUAGCAGUGAAAUGCGUAGAUAUCAGGAGGAAUACCGAUGGCGAAGGCAGGUCUCUGGGCUAUAACUGACGCUCAUGCACGAAAGCGUGGGGAGCAAACAGG
rnacentral:rRNA from 1 species